GACGAACGCUGGCGGCGUGCUUAACACAUGCAAGUCGAACGGAAAGGCCCUGCUUUUGUGGGGUGCUCGAGUGGCGAACGGGUGAGUAACACGUGAGUAACCUGCCCUUGACUUUGGGAUAACUUCAGGAAACUGGGGCUAAUACCGGAUAGGAGCUCCUGCUGCAUGGUGGGGGUUGGAAAGUUUCGGCGGUUGGGGAUGGACUCGCGGCUUAUCAGCUUGUUGGUGGGGUAGUGGCUUACCAAGGCUUUGACGGGUAGCCGGCCUGAGAGGGUGACCGGCCAAAUUGGGACUGGGAAACGGCCCAGACCCCACCGGGGGGCAGCGGGGGGGAAUUUUGAAAAAUGGGCGGAAGCCGGAUGGAGCAACGCCGCGGGGGGGAGGAGGGCCUCGGGGUUGAAAACCGCUUUCGCCUGUGACGAAGCGGGGGGGACGGGAAUGGGGAAAGAAGCACCGGCUAACUACGG
rnacentral:rRNA from 1 species